rnacentral:lncRNA from 1 species
CAGCCACCGGGACGACACUGAUAGCCAAAGAAAGCUCCUUCCCCACCGCUGACAGCCAAAACCACUCUUGUGCUCAUCAAGGUCCCUUUCACCUCUCUAACCUCUGUGUUAAGUCUGUCUGGUUCUAGGCCGAUUCAGGUUUUUUGUUUUGUUUUUGCUUCCACUCUGUUUGAUUUAAGCGUGGUGGUCAGAUCCUCUUCAGAUGUCCAGUUGAGACACCUACCCAUUUCUUCUCUUUUUAUCUCUUCGGAGGAGAGGAUAGGAUGCUAACUAGCGAAGUACUAUACUACUACUACAUUUCAAACCAUAAUAAGGUCCUUCGGUAAAAACAAAACAAGAUUUGCAGCGUCACAGUAGCAAAAUUCCAGCAUCCACUAGCCACACAAAAAAGUAUGUAUCCAGUGAUAAUAUAACGAGAGAGGAAUUCAAGGAUUAGUUUAUUAUUAACCUAUGUAGUGUAUGCACUGGUAGUUGAUGGAGUUUCAAGCAGCAAGCAUGGAGCACCUUCUUCUUUCUAUCAUGUCACUUACCUGAUAAUUUUGGUAAUUCUCUCCGUAAUGUCAUUCAUAUACCUGAUAAAGCCAAUCUCUUUGGGGCUCUCUGUCAUUCAUAUGUUCAGUGAUGCAAUCUGAAUUAUUAUGUAGAGGUUACUCCAGUCCUCACUAUUCUUCUAUUUGUCCCUGUUUAGUGUUUUACUUUUUUUUAUCAGCAGCACAAUAGAUAACCAUAUCUACAUUUGUCUCUAUUUUCUGUCAGGUUAGGCAACAGGAUGGCAGUCACAGGAGCCAUUGCAUUUUCUUUGUCGCAAUGGCAUUAGGUAGUUGUACCUACUGCGGUUGUUACACUAAUAUCUAUUUAUUACAUGUUGCUAUAGUUACAAAGCUUCAACAGCUUACUAUAAAUUAGACUGGUUUGAUUCCUAGAUAUUAUUGUAUUUUACCCGUAGGAUCAAUUUCCAAUGAGUUGGUGCCUAGGGUCUUGUGGGGAGCACAUUUUCUUUAGCUGCUGCCAUUUAUUCUGCGGCUUUCGUACAACCUAGCACUCUUCUGUGGUGGGCAUAUGUUAUUUUGUACCAAUGAUAGAUACAGAAAGUGCAAGACUUCUACUCUCUACUUAAUGAACUGAUUUUGCUUCAGGAUAACUAGCUUGAUUAAUUAGCAUGUUUCUGUGAUCAAUGAAUUACUAAGGUUGUGACCCCAGCUUGGAGGCUUGAGUUCCUUCCGUAGUUCUUUAUUUUACUUAAAUGAUCAUGAACCCUUUACUUAACAUAUGUCCUUUUGUACCUUAGCAAAGGGUCUCGCCACCGCGCGCAGUCCACCUCUCCCCGCAGGCAUGCCGGCCACCUCCCCACCUGACGCACAUCUUUCCCAUGGGGCCAUGGAACACGGUGAGCAGCAGUGGUACGAACCACCAAAUACUACUAUGAGAUUAGUUAAAUUCAGUGUUAUGUUGUAACUUUAAAAUUGAAAACCAAGUUUCCCAGGACAAAUAUAGUUUUUUGUGAGCUUAUUAUUGACAAUUUAUAGUAAUAUGCUAUUAUGGGCUUUGCUCCACCAUGAUAAGGAGGAAAGAACUGCAGGCUAUAUCGGAGAUGGUUUGGCAUACUGGCGGUUUCGCUGAACUCGAGAAAGUAGCUUCACAACACAAUGUGUAGUUCAGUGUAGUUCACAACACAAAGCUAGCUCAACCACACAGGCAGAUUGAUUGAUCCCUAAUUCCUCUCCGUGGCCAUUCUUUUAUCGGUCUUUCUGAUAUCUAGAGUACUUUCAUUUAAGACCAGAACAUCAACUUGUUUUUUGUUCUUAAUUUUGUUGGCAUAAUGGUUUUAGUAGUUGUGAAGGGGAGCCUUGGCGCAGUGGUAAAGCUGCUGCCUUGUGACCAUGAGGUCACGGGUUCAAGUCCUGGAAACAGCCUCUUACAGAAAUGUAGGGAAAGGCUGCGUACAAUAGACCCAAAGUGGUCGGACCCNNNNNNNNNNUGUAGUUCACAACACAAAGCUAGCUCAACCACACAGGCAGAUUGAUUGAUCCCUAAUUCCUCUCCGUGGCCAUUCUUUUAUCGGUCUUUCUGAUAUCUAGAGUACUUUCAUUUAAGACCAGAACAUCAACUUGUUUUUUGUUCUUAAUUUUGUUGGCAUAAUGGUUUUAGUAGUUGUGCCAUAAACAAAAGAUAUUAGCUCUUGACACCUCUUUAUGUUUAAUUUACAGGCUGUGUCACUUGUAUUGAGCACACCAAUCUGCCUCGGUAGACGGCUGCUGAAGUUGACCCACAGGUUGGAGACAAAGAUAGUGUGACAAUUGACUGACCUUGACAUGUUUGAGAAUUAGGCAAUUGAUUGUGCCAUUUCUCUGCGCAUUGGUACUUACUUUUAAAACCGGUAGAUUUUAAGAAAUAUUUCCGAUGCAUUAUAGAAUGCCACCAAAACAGAAUAACUCUCCUGCCUAUUUCCAUUUAUUCUUAACAUUGCUUGUUUUUCCUUAUGAUGCUACACUAGACUGCAGUUUUUGUUGUCACUGCAAUGAUGUAUUUUUUGAUUCCAUCUGCUGUCGACGCAAUGCACAGAGGGUUCAACAACUGAAUAUUGUUAUGCUAACACAUGUUUAGUUGGUGUGUGUUUUGUCAGAUAAAAUGCAUGUUUCUCAGGAGACACAUACUGUAGUUAAUUCCGAAGGAGAAUAGCAACCUUUGCUUCUGCUAGAUACGUACUUAAAUUUAUUGAUAUUCAACUAUUUUUGUUGUUUCGGUUUAGUUCCAUCCAAGGCCACCAGUUGGUUAUAAGUACUUCCAAAUAGUGAUCACCCAAUCUUCUGUAGUAUGUAUAUACUGAUGGUAGUUUCUUCCACCGAAUAUGUGAACCUGGAGAAGACUCACUAUGAAGGUCUCCUGACAACUAAAGUUUUACCUGCUAUUAAAACGGUCGAAACAGAGUAUGCAGAUCUUCAGUAGCUUCGACAGAUUUUUUUUGAACUACGAUUGUUUCUGUAUGCUUCUUCUCUAAGAGAAAAUUGUGUUCUAUUGUAGUUACAGUCAGUGGGGGCCUGAAAAUUCACAUCACCAAAAGAAUUGUAGAAUUUGAUAAG